rnacentral:rRNA from 1 species
AUGAAUGCUGGCGGCGUGCCUAACACCUGCAAGUCGAGCGGCAGCGAGUUUUACACUGAAUUCUGGAAGCUUCUGAGUAGUACAGAAGAUUUAUUCAAGAGUUUUGUGUAAAAUGUCGGCGAGCGGCGGACGGCUGAGUAACGCGUAGGAAUUUGCCCCAAAGUGAGGAAUAACUGCCCGAAAGGGUAGCUAAUGCCGCAUAUGGUCUUCGGAUUAAAGCCUUCGGGCGCUUUGGGAGAAGCCUGCGUUGGAUUAGGUAGUUGGUAGGGUAAUGGCCUACCAAGCCGACGAUCCAUAGCUGGUCUGAGAGGAUGAUCAGCCAGACUGGAACUGAGACACGGUCCAGACUCCUACGGGAAGCAGCAGUGAGGAAUCUUCCACAAUGGGUGAAAGCCUGAUGGAGCAACGCCGCGUGAAGGAUGAAGGCCUUCGGGUUGUAAACUUCUUUUAUGAGUGAAGAAUAUGACGGUAACUCAUGAAUAAGCACCGGCUAACUACGUG